CGACUGCGUUGGCGUUGCGGGCUCGGUCCGUCGGUGCCCACAAAGCACUGGCGUGUCAACCGGCCCGCCCGUCCCCUCCUUCUGGAUUCCCGUUCCUGCUAUUGAGUUAGUGGGGACGUCACAGGGAGCUCAUCGUCGUCAGCAAUGCCGGCGGUGGGUUCCUGGGGCCCAGAUCGUUUACCGUGAAAAAAUUAGAGUGUUCAAAGCAGGCAGAUCCAAUUUUCUGCCACCGAAUACAUUAGCAUGGGAUAAUGGAAUAGGACCCUGUCCUCCUAUUUUCAGUUGGUUUUGGCAGCGCGAGGACUAGGGUAAUGAUUAAUAGGGAUAGUUGGGGGCAUUAAUAUUUAAUUGUCAGAGGUGAAAUUCUUGGAUUUAUGAAAGAUUAACUUCUGCGAAAGCAUCUGCCAAGGAUGUUUUCAUUAAUCAAGAACGAAAGUUAGGGGAUCGAAGACGAUCAGAUACCGUCGUAGUCUUAACCAUAAACGAUGCCGACCAGCGAUUAGGAGACGUUGAAUACAAAACACCACCAUCGGUGCGGUCGUCCUUGGCGUCUCGGUUUCGGCCGGGGUGCGGGGACGGCUUAGCCCGGUGGCACCGGUGAAUGACUCCCCUAGCAGCUUGUGAGAAAUCAUAAGUCUUUGGGUUCCGGGGGGAGUAUGGUCGCAAGGCUGAAACUUAAAGGAAUUGACGGAAGGGCA
rnacentral:rRNA from 1 species